GGGGAUGUUGCUCAUUGGUAGAGCGCAUGCUUUGCAUGUAUGACGUCCUGGGUUUAAUCCCCAGCAUCUCCA
rfam:Danio rerio chromosome 21, GRCz11 reference primary assembly.